rnacentral:tRNA from 1 species
GAGGGCAUAGCUCAGUGGUAGAGUGUGUGCUUGGCACGCACAAGAUCCUGGGUUCAAUCCCCAGUACCCCCA